CCUACGGGAGGCUGCAGUGGGGAAUAUUGCACAAUGGGGGAAACCCUGAUGCAGCGACGCCGCGUGAGUGAAGAAGUAAUUCGUUAUGUAAAGCUCUAUCAGCAGGGAAGAAAAUGACGGUACCUGAGUAAGAAUCCCCGGCUAACUACGUGCCAGCAGCCGCGGUAAUACGUAGGGGGCAAGCGUUAUCCGGAUUUACUGGGUGUAAAGGGAGCGUAGACGGCAGUGCAAGUCUGUAGUGAAAGGCGGGGGCUCAACCUCCGGACUGCUCUGGAAACUGUACGGCUGGAGGGCAGGAGAGGGAAGUGGAAUUCCUAGUGUAGCGGUGAAAUGCGUAGAUAUUAGGAGGAACACCAGUGGCGAAGGCGGAUUACUGGACUGUAACUGACGUUGAGGCACGAAAGCGUGGGGAGCAAACAGGAUUAGAUACCCGUGUAGUC
rnacentral:rRNA from 1 species